AUGGUCUUUUAGACACCUUACCGCCGCCUUCCCGGCUGCACCCACGCGGCAAGGCCGGAGUCUGGGGGCGACUGCGCGGCAGCCCUGAGAUCUCGCUCAGUUUGCCUGGACCCCACAUCACGCAGGGAUUGGGGCUCCAGGAGUUCCUUUUGUAUAAAGAAGGGCCUUCCCGGUCUCUGAGCACCGCGAGCCUGGCUCCCUAAGACUGCGUGCCCUGAAUAGCAAACUGGCUUUCCUAGGGUUGCAGUCUUGGCCCCACCCUGGGGAGUUCUGGACUAGUGCAGUGUCUCUUCUGGUCAGUCGGCUGAGAUGUGAGUACAUUUUCUCAUGAUCCUGCCACCAUAGACAAGCUGGUCUCACCACCAUGUGCUUCCUGCUCUAUGGAACAUAUGUCCCCUCAAACUAUGCACCAAGGUAUUUUAUCACACUGAUGAGAAAGUGAGCUAUCUAUCACCUUAGCCUCCAGUAGAGCACAGUGCACGCUGCAUCGAGGAUGUGACAGUCACCCUCCUUGAGAGCCUGUAUCACAAGGUCUUGUCAUGACACAAGCAAGAAGCCUGCUAUGGAGAACUUUGCCAGGCCCACUAACUAGCAAAGGAGUGAGAAUGAUCUGCCAGAAGUUUCCUGAGCUGCAGUGCUGUAGGGCCUCGAUUUUCAUCCAUGAGACUCUACUGUCUGUCUCUGCAUAUUUGUUUUGUAGCCUCACUGGUUGAUCUUGCUUCUGUUUGCUGGCCAUCUGUGACCCACAUCAACCCAGAUGCUUUGAAGUUAAAUGUGUAAUAAAAAAGUUCUUUAAAAGAUAUGGGA